UAGAAAAGAUGAAACCUACGGGCCAAGAAAACAGUUCUUGGUAUCGAAGAAUCUCAAGGUAGUCAAAAUCAAGCAUAGCAAGAAUGAUGAAAGGAUUCACCAAAUUGUUAUGAUCCUUGUUAGCCUUGGAGUGCCUCUUGAGAAUAUUAAUUGCUCUGAUUGCAUCAACUUCUAGGAGAGGAGUAAUUUCAUCUGGUAUACUGUCUCUUGGUUUUUAGUGACUGCAUCUCCCUGAAUCUGGCCAUGUGAGAUCGCUGUUUUCUGUCUGCCAGGAUCGUGUGCAUGUCCCUCUCCUGUUUGUAUAAUUUUUUGUAGAGUUUGGUAUGCAACCUGAAAUGCCAUCCUAGUCCCGUUGGGCUGCUGCUCAUUUCGUGAAAUCUGUACAAAGGCCUGGCAUGAUAGCAUAUAUGUGGUGAUUGAUGUCAUGUUUCACAUGGAAAAAAGUGUAGUAGGCCUAUGUCUGACCUUAAGCAAAUUUAUUCAGCAACCUCAUAUGCAUUAAUAACUAACAUAGAGUUGGAGAUGUCA